CCUACGGGAGGCAGCAGUGGGGAAUAUUCGACAAUGGGCGCAAGCCUGAUCCAGCCACGCCGCGUGAGUGAAGAAGGCCCUAGGGUUGUAAAGCUCUUUUGGCGGGGACGAUAAUGACGGUACCCGCAGGAUAAGCUCCGGCUAACUUCGUGCCAGCAGCCGCGGUAAU
rnacentral:rRNA from 1 species